AUAAAGUUUGAUUCUUGCUUAGAAUUCUAAUAAUAUUCACGGAAUGUAUAUGAAAAUUUUAGUAUUCCUUUUAAAAUUUUUAUUAUUUAGAAAAUAAAUUUUAAUUUGUAUAAAUUCAAUAUAUUAUAUUAAAUCAAUUAAUUAAAUUUAGAUUUAGUGUGAAUAAAUAUUCCGGCUAAAAUUUGUGCCAGCAGUCGCGGUUAUACUUUAGGAAAAAAUUAGAAUAAAUUAGUUUGUAGGAAGUUUAUUAAUAUUAAUUAAAUUUUGUUUAUUAAUAUAAAGGGUGAAAUCAGUUUAUAUUGGUUGAAUUGAAAUUUAGGUAAAUAAAAGAUAAUACUACGAAGAUUUAAAAUUAAACUAGGAUUAGAUACCCUAUUAUAUUAAAUAAAAAAUAAAAAACUUGAUUAUUAAUAGUUAUGUUCUUUAAAUUCAAAGAAUUUGGCGGUAUUUUAGUCUAAUUAGAGGAACCUGUUUUAUAAUCGAUAAUCCGCGUUAAAUUACACUUGUUUGAAAUAACUUGUAUACCGUCAUUUGAAGAUAACAUUUAUAGAUUAAGUUAUUAAAAUUAAAAUUUAUUAAAUAUAUUAGAUCAAGGUGCAGUUUAUAGACAAGAAAAAAUGGGUUACAAUAAUAUUAGUUUAAAUGUAAUGGAUUUUAUUUAGAAUUAAAUGAAUGAAGGUGGAUUUAAUUGUAAAUUUAUUUUAAAAUAAUAAGUUGAUUUUAGCUCUAAAAUAAGUACAUAUCGCCCGUCGCUUUCAUUAAAUUAAAUGAGAUAAGUCGUAACAUAGUAGCUGUAUUGGAAAAUGUAGCUAGAAAUCA
rnacentral:ncRNA from 1 species